UACAGAGGGUGCAAGCGUUAAUCGGAAUUACUGGGCGUAAAGCGUGUGUAGGCGGAUAUCUAAGUCGGAUGUGAAAUCCCCGGGCUUAACCUGGGAAUGGCAUUUGGGACUGCAAGGCUGGAGUGUGGCAGAGGAGACUGGAAUUCCUGGUGUAGCAGUGAAAUGCGUAGAUAUCAGGAGGAAUACCGAUGGCGAAGGCAGGUCUCUGGGCUGACACUGACGCUCAUGCACGAAAGCGUGGGGAGCAAACAGG
rnacentral:rRNA from 1 species